AUGCCGGUGCCGCCGCCGGAGGACAUCCACCUCACGCCGUGGGACCUCUGCUUCAUCGGCAUGGAGUAUAUCUAGAGGGGGGUAAUCCUGCCCAAGCCUACCGCCGGAGGUGAGAUGAGCAGCCUAGUCGACACACUCGCGUCCUCCCUUCGCGCGCUGGGACGGUACUACCACCUCGCUGGCCGGCUCGCCGUCGAGGAGCACGGCGAACGGACAAUCACCGUCCCGCUGCGCUGCACCAGGGAAGGUGCCGAGCUCGUCCACGCGGCGGGGGCCGUUGCAGACAUAGUCGGCUCGAUGUACACCCCGUCGUUCGUGGUCUAGGGAGUUUUCCCGUUGAACGGGCUCCGUGGCGCGGGCGCGGCCAUCGCGUUGUCGCUCCCCGUGCUGUGGGCGCAGGUCACCGAGCUCGCCGACGACAUCUUUAUUAGCAUGUCGAUGAACCACUCUGUCGACAAUGACACCUCCUUCUGGGAGUUGUUCAACGUAUGGUCGGCGAUCAGCUGA
rnacentral:rRNA from 1 species